rnacentral:lncRNA from 1 species
UCUACCAUCAAUGAGGAAGUGACCUGAGAGUGCACUAUUAACAUUCACAAGUGUAUCCAUGGAACAGGCUUAAAGAAGUAUGCCCCUCAGGUAUGCAAAGACAUCCAGAAAUUUGCCAUGAAAGGGAUGGAACUCAAGAUGUGCACAAUGAUGCCAGGUUCAAUAAAGCUAUAUGGGACAAAGAAGUAAGGAAUGUUUCAUAUUGAAUCCACAUGUUUGCCCAGAAAAUGUAAUGAGAGUGAGCACCAAACAAGCUCUAUACACUGCUAACUUACGUACCUGUUACUGCAUUCAAAGCUCUAUAGACGGUCAAUGUGGAUGAGAACUAA